rnacentral:rRNA from 1 species
UGAGGGAAUAUUUGGGUCAAUGGGCGAGAGCCUGAACCAGCCAAGUAGCGUGCAGGAUGACGGCCCUACGGGUUGUAAACUGCUUUUGCGGGAGAAUAAAGUCGGCCACGCGUGGCCAUUUGCAGGUAUCCCGUGAAUAAGGACCGGCUAAUUCCGUGCCAGCAGCCGCGGUAAUACGGAAGGUCCGGGCGUUAUCCGGAUUUAUUGGGUUUAAAGGGAGCGUAGGCCGGAGAUUAAGCGUGUUGUGAAAUGUAGGUGCUCAACAUCUGCACUGCAGCGCGAACUGGUUUCCUUGAGUACGCACAAAGUGGGCGGAAUUCGUGGUGUAGCGGUGAAAUGCUUAGAUAUCACGAAGAACUCCGAUUGCGAAGGCAGCUCACUGGAGCGCAACUGACGCUGAAGCUCGAAAGUGC